rnacentral:rRNA from 1 species
UACGUAGGGGGCAAGCGUUGUCCGGAUUCAUUGGGCGUAAAGAGCGUGUGGGCGGCAAGGUAGGUCGGUUGUGAAAACUGGAGGCUCAACCUUCAGAGGUCGACCGAAACCAUCUGGCUAGAGUCCGGGAGAGGAGAGUGGAAUUCCUGGUGUAGCGGUGAAAUGCGCAGAUAUCAGGAAGAACACCCGUGGCGAAAGCGGCUCUCUGGAACGGUACUGACGCUGAGACGCGAAAGCGUGGGGAGCGAACAGG